CUGUCUUAAGUUUCACCACCUUUAGAAGACUCUCAAUUGCUUAGGCCUAGUAUAAUUAUCGUUUCUGUUGGUGUCGAGCAGCGUGACAACUUUUUAUAUUUCUAGUGGUGGCAGUCUUUGUUGUAUACGAGCUCAUUAUUGGAAAGCUCUUCCUUAGCAUUGUGCACAGGGUGGGUCUCGUUCAAUUGGACGAAAACAUCAACACUGUUUUUGCGUUCGAGGCAUCUGGUAUUCUAAUCACCAACAACUACGAUAGCUCUUCUCUGAAGGCAAACACGAGGUGACACAGUCACCAAGACAAGGCUGCACUGGCGUAGAUCAACAUACAGCAGCCCCAGACAAAAAGCAGUGUACCCCCGAAUAUUGUAACUGAAGCGUACUUUUGAAGUGCAAUGGUGCCACGGGAGGGUGUGCAACAUCAGGGGCUGGCGAAGCUCUGCGACUGACUUACUCUUUGCACGUGAAGAAGCCCAUUCUCGAUAUAGCACCUGCACGUCAACGGAAAAUCAGACGAUGCUAGACAGUUCGUCUCAGUGCGUACUUCCCUCUACUCUUUCUGCUUUGAAAUAUGAUAG
rnacentral:misc_RNA from 1 species